UGGGGAAUAUUGCGCAAUGGGCGAAAGCCUGACGCAGCAACGCCGCGUGCGGGAUGACGGCCUUCGGGUUGUAAACCGCUUUCAGCAGGGACGAAGGGUUACCUUGACGGUACCUGCAGAAGAAGCACCGGCUAACUACGUGCCAGCAGCCGCGGUGAUACGUAGGGUGCGAGCGUUGUCCGGAAUUAUUGGGCGUAAAGAGCUUGUAGGCGGUCUGUUGCGUCGGAAGUGAAAACUCAGGGCUUAACCCUGAGCCUGCUUUCGAUACGGGCAGACUUGAGGGAUGUAGGGGAGAACGGAAUUCCUGGUGGAGCGGUGGAAUGCGCAGAUAUCAGGAGGAACACCAGUGGCGAAGGCGGUUCUCUGGACAUUUCCUGACGCUGAGAAGCGAAAGCGUGGGGAGCAAACAGG
rnacentral:rRNA from 1 species